rnacentral:rRNA from 1 species
GCCGUCUGGCUCUAAGCGUAGUAAUACUUCUCGCUAUAGGGUCUAGUCGUCCACCCGCCAGAACCCCCAACUUCUUAGGUUGACCUCGGAUCAGGUAGGGAUACCCGCUGAACUUAAGCAUAUCAAUAAGCGGAGGAAAAGAAACCAACAGGGAUUGCCUCAGUAACGGCGAGUGAAGCGGCAACAGCUCAAAUUUGAAAUCUGCCUCUAGGCCGAGUUGUAAUUUGUAGAAGAUGCUUCGGGUGUGGCACUGGUCUAAGUUCCUUGGAACAGGACGUCAUAGAGGGUGAGAAUCCCGUACGUGACUGGCUGCCUUCGCCCAUGUGAAGCUCUUUCGACGAGUCGAGUUGUUUGGGAAUGCAGCUCAAAAUGGGUGGUAUAUUUCAUCUAAAGCUAAAUAUUGGCCAGAGACCGAUAGCGCACAAGUAGAGUGAUCGAAAGAUGAAAAGCACUUUGGAAAGAGAGUUAAACAGUACGUGAAAUUGUUGAAAGGGAAGCGCUUGCAACCAGACUUGCGCGCCGUCGAUCAUCCGAGGUUUUCCCCGGUGCACUCGGCGGUGCUCAGGCCAGCAUCGGUUUCGGUGGUUAGAUAAAGGCCUUGGGAAUGUGACUCCUCCGGGAGUGUUAUAGCCCUCGGUGCAAUGUAGCCUAUCGGGACCGAGGACCGCGCUUCGGCUAGGAUGCUGGCGUAAUGGUUGUAAGCGAC